CACCGCGGUUAUACGAGGGGCCCAAGUUGAUAGACACCGGCGUAAAGGGUGGUUAGGAUAAAAAUUAAAGACUAAAGCCGAACACCUUCAAGGCUGUUAUACGCACCCGAAGGUAAGAAGCUCAAUCACGAAAGUGGCUUUAUUCCCACCGAACCCACGAAAGCUACGACA
rnacentral:rRNA from 1 species